rnacentral:rRNA from 1 species
GACGAACGCUGGCGGCGUGCUUAACACAUGCAAGUCGAACGGAAAGGCUCUGCUUUUGCGGGGUGCUCGAGUGGCGAACGGGUGAGUAACACGUGAGUAACCUGCCCUUGACUUUGGGAUAACUUCAGGAAACUGGGGCUAAUACAGUAUAGGAGCUCCUGCUGCAUGUUGGGGGUUGGAAAGUUUCGGCGGUUGGGGAUGGACUCGCGGCUUAUCAGCUUGUUGGUGGGGUAGUGGCUUACCAAGGCUUUGACGGGUAGCCGGCCUGAGAGGGUGACCGGCCACAUUGGGACUGAGAUACGGCCCAGACUCCUACGGGAGGCAGCAGUGGGGAAUAUUGCACAAUGGGCGGAAGCCUGAUGCAGCAACGCCGCGUGCGGGAUGACGGCCUUCGGGUUGUAAACCGCUUUCGCCUGUGACGAAGCGUGAGUGACGGUAAUGGGUAAAGAAGCACCGGCUAACUACGUG